rnacentral:rRNA from 1 species
UGGGGAAUAUUGCACAAUGGGGGAAACCCUGAUGCAGCGACGCCGCGUGAGCGAUGAAGGCUUUCGAGUCGUAAAGCUCUGUCCUAUGGGAAGAUAAUGACGGUACCAUAGAAGAAAGCCCCGGCUAAUUACGUGCCAGCAGCCGCGGUAAUACGUACGGGGCGAGCGUUGUCCGGAAUUAUUGGGCGUAAAGAGUGCGUAGGCGGCAAAUUAAGUCAGAUGUGAAAACUAAGGGCUCAACCCAUAGAUUGCAUCUGAAACUGAUAUGCUUGAGUCAAGGAGAGGAAAGUGGAAUUCCUAGUGUAGCGGUGGAAUGCGUAGAUAUUAGGAGGAAUACCGGUGGCGAAGGCGACUUUCUGGACUUGAACUGACGCUGAGGCACGAAAGCGUGGGGAGCAAACAGG